rnacentral:rRNA from 1 species
UUUGUGGCCUAACACAUGCAAGUCGAACGGUAACAGGAAGAAGCUUGCUUCUUUGCUGACGAGUGGCGGACGGGUGAGUAAUGUCUGGGAAACUGCCUGAUGGAGGGGGAUAACUACUGGAAACGGUAGCUAAUACCGCAUAACGUCGCAAGACCAAAGAGGGGGACCUUCGGGCCUCUUGCCAUCGGAUGUGCCCAGAUGGGAUUAGCUAGUAGGUGGGGUAACGGCUCACCUAGGCGACGAUCCCUAGCUGGUCUGAGAGGAUGACCAGCCACACUGGAACUGAGACACGGUCCAGACUCCUACGGGAGGCAGCAGUGGGGAAUAUUGCACAAUGGGCGCAAGCCUGAUGCAGCCAUGCCGCGUGUAUGAAGAAGGCCUUCGGGUUGUAAAGUACUUUCAGCGGGGAGGAAGGGAGUAAAGUUAAUACCUUGCUCAUGACGUACCCCAGAGAGAUUAACCCCGCCUUA